UACGAAGGGAGCUAGCGUUGUUCGGAAUCACUGGGCGUAAAGCGCACGUAGGCGGAUGUGUCAGUCAGGGGUGAAAUCCCGGAGCUCAACUUCGGAACUGCCUUUGAUACAGCACGUCUUGAGUCCGAUAGAGGUGGGUGGAAUUCCUAGUGUAGAGGUGAAAUUCGUAGAUAUCAGGAAGAACACCCGUGGCGAAGGCGGCUCUCUGGUACGUGACUGACGCUGAGACGCGAAAGCGUGGGGAGCAAACAGG
rnacentral:rRNA from 1 species